AGUCGAGCGGUAGCACAAGAGAGCUUGCUCUCUGGGUGACGAACGGCGCACGGAUGAGUAAUGUCUGGGAAACUGCCUGAUGGAGGGGGAUAACUACUGGAAACGGUAGCUAAUACCGCCUGACGUCUUCGGACCAAAGUGGGGGACCUUCGGGCCUCACGCCAUCAGAUGUGCCCAGAUGGGAUUAGUUAGUAGGUGGGGUAAUGGCUCACCUAGGCGACGAUCUCUAGCUGGUCUGAGAGGAUGACCAGCCACACUGGAACUGAGACACGGUCCAGACUCCUACGGGAGGCAGCAGUGGGGAAUAUUGCACAAUGGGCGCAAGCCUGAUGCAGCCCUGCCGCGUGUAUGAAGAAGGCCUUCGGGUUGUAAAGUACUUUCAGCGAGGAGGAAGGCAUUGUGGUUAAUAACCACAGUGAUUGACGUUACUCGCACAAAAAGCACCGGCUAACUCCGUGCCAGCAGCCGCGGUAAUACUGAGGGUGCAAGCGUUAAUCGGAAUUACUGGGCGUAAAGCGCACGCAGGCGGUUGAUUAAGUCAGAUGUGAAAUCCCCGAGCUUAACUUGGGAACUGCAUUUGAAACUGGUCUGCUAGAGUCUUGUAGAGGGGGGUAGAAUUCCAGGUGUAGCGGUGAAAUGCGAAUAGAUCUGAAGUAAUACCGGUGGCCAAAGCGGCCCCCUGGACAAAGACUGACCCUCAGGUGCUAAAGCGUGGGGAGCAAACAGGAUUAAAUAUCCUGGUAGUCCCCCCUGUAAA
rnacentral:rRNA from 1 species